rnacentral:rRNA from 1 species
GACGAACGCUGGCGGCGUGCUUAACACAUGCAAGUCGAACGGUAAGGCCCUUCGGGUACGACGAGUGGCGAACAGGUGAGUAACACGUGGGUGAUCUGCCCUGCACUUCGGGAUAAGCCUGGGAAACUGGGUCUAAUACCGGAUAGGACUCCUGGCUUCAUGGUUGGGGGUGUAAAGCUUUUGCGGUGUGGGAUGGGCCCGCGGCCUAUCAGCUUGUUGGUGGGGUAAUGGCCUACCAAGGCGACGACGGGUAGCCGGCCUGAGAGGGUGACCGGCCACACUGGGACUGAGAUACGGCCCAGACUCCUACGGGAGGCAGCAGUGGGAAUAUUGCACAAUGGGCGCAAGCCUGAUGCAGCGACGCCGCGUGAGGGAUGACGGCCU